CAUGCAAGUCGAGCGGGCGAGGUUGCUUCGGUAACUGAGCUAGCGGCGGACGGGUGAGUAAUGCUUAGGAAUCUGCCUAUUAGUGGGGGACAACAUUCCGAAAGGAAUGCUAAUACCGCAUACGCCCUACGGGGGAAAGCAGGGGAUCUUCGGACCUUGCGCUAAUAGAUGAGCCUAAGUCAGAUUAGCUAGUUGGUGGGGUAAAGGCCUACCAAGGCGACGAUCUGUAGCGGGUCUGAGAGGAUGAUCCGCCACACUGGGACUGAGACACGGCCCAGACUCCUACGGGAGGCAGCAGUGGGGAAUAUUGGACAAUGGGCGAAAGCCUGAUCCAGCCAUGCCGCGUGUGUGAAGAAGGCCUUUUGGUUGUAAAGCACUUUAAGCGAGGAGGAGGCUACUUAGAUUAAUACUCUAGGAUAGUGGACGUUACUCGCAGAAUAAGCACCGGCUAACUCUGUGCCAGCAGCCGCGGUAAUACAGAGGGUGCGAGCGUUAAUCGGAUUUACUGGGCGUAAAGCGUGCGUAGGCGGCUUCUUAAGUCGGAUGUGAAAUCCCUGAGCUUAACUUAGGAAUUGCAUUCGAUACUGGGAAGCUAGAGUAUGGGAGAGGAUGGUAGAAUUCCAGGUGUAGCGGUGAAAUGCGUAGAGAUCUGGAGGAAUACCGAUGGCGAAGGCAGCCAUCUGGCCUAAUACUGACGCUGAGGUACGAAAGCAUGGGGAGCAAACAGGAUUAGAUACCCUGGUAGUCCAUGCCGUAAACGAUGUCUACUAGCCGUUGGGGCCUUUGAGGCUUUAGUGGCGCAGCUAACGCGAUAAGUAGACCGCCUGGGGAGUACGGUCGCAAGACUAAAACUCAAAUGAAUUGACGGGGGCCCGCACAAGCG
rnacentral:rRNA from 1 species